CCGCCCCAGCCCCAGAGCUGCACCCAGUCCACUCGCUCCCUACUACAGCUGCCCCCAUUGCCUCCGCUUGCGCCCGCGUUGUUGCUCGCAUCGGUGAUCAAAGCUCGAACUGCUGCCCUUGGUAUUGCGCUUCCACAUUACAUCGGAGGAGAUCUUGCGGUGGCUCAGGCGACCUUAGGCCACCGUCGACCGUCACAGAUUCAGAUUCAGAUUCAGGAAGAUGGCGUCCGCAAUGUUGAAGUCCACAGUGACCAUUGUUGCAGCCGUUUUGAGCAUGGCUGUGUUGGCCAAUGCGCAGGCGCCUAGUUCUGCCCCAGGACCUGAGAAAGGUGCCGGGGUCCUUACAGUGCCGACAAUGAUUGUGCCCGUGGUUGGGAUGAUCCUGUCUUUGGUUGCGGGGCGCAUGCUGUGUUGAACACACGUGAGCUAUGAGCUAUUGUAAAAUUGGAUGCGUAGAUUAUGUAGUGCUGUGGAAGUGCUAUCAAUUCAAUUCAUGAGGUUAGGAAGAUUUUGAAGCGGAGAAGCCGGUGGGACGCCAAAUGAUAGGGAGCAGAAGGCGACGACCAAGCGGGUUUUCAGGACGAGAAGUCUGGCAUUGGCAUGAUGUUGUACAAUUAGAAGUGAUCCGCAUAGUGGUAGUUCGGAAAGUAACCUGGCGCUUCAGGCGUUCAGGUACAAAUUGUUAAUCGGCUGUUAGCUUCUUUUUUCGAACAUUUGAGUGGUGAUGCCAUGAAAACACAACGUUGUAGUGAUAAUGUCGCUUUACCUGACUGUGGCAGUUGUACUACAUUUGUAUUCUAUGCUUGUUUCAAUAUCAUUUUUCCAUUAUGAAAUUAUAUUUUCGAAA